AACUCACACAUCAUCGAUCAACAAAAACAGCAAUUGCCGAUUAAGAAUCAGAAGGGAGGGAGACGAUUUACUGACUGAGAGUGAGAUGGGAAGGAAACGAUUUAUUGACCGAGAGUGAAAAAUGAGGGAGAUUGCCGACUAAUUUGCAGUACCAGCAACGAGGACAAGAGAAAGCAUGGCAAUACUAGCGAUGAGGACUAAAGGAAAUGGCAGAGAAGAGCAAAAAGGACCGGUGGACGCAGCAAUGAUGUGGACACCGUGAAUAGCAGAGGGCCAAUCGGUAGGAAGAGAGAGGAGGAACACGCGCGGCUGUACCAAAUAGAGAGGUGGAGAACUCGGCGAGGAACGGGACAGGACAGGGCCAGGCCAGGCGAUAUAGAUGGGUGAGCUUGAAGAGAGAGAGAAAUGGAAUGAAAAAAGAGGAAAGGCUAAAUGAAUUUCACCGAGGAAGAGGGAUAUAUCAAAAAGAGCCAACGAUUUGAAAAGUUGCAAGAGUUCUGUGACCAGCGAGAGGGGAGAUUUCCGGGUUUUCUAUCCAUAAUUUUUAUUUUUAUUUUUUUUGUUUUGUGUGAUUUCGUUAUUAUGUUUGGUUUUUAUGUGAUAGUUUUACCGUUUUGAUUUAUGAUUUUAUGGGUUUUGUUUUGCAAGGCAUGCAGAAUCUACUCUGAGAGAGAAUUCUCGUGCCUUGAUGUUUGACAAUUUGAUAUUGUACCGCUAGGUCUCCUAUCUUGCUGUGGUGGUCGUCCUGUUAGUGGAGAAUCCAGCUUCUUCCUUCUGUAUUUAUGGAUUGUUGAUAGUCAGUUGAUUGAAUCUGAUUUUGGUUGUUUGUAGCAUAUUUUUGGUCUUCUUAACUUCAUUUUGUCCUUGUGAUUGUAUACCCUUUCUUCUUUUCUAAACAUGCAUCAAGCUUUUUC